GUAGACUUUCAAGAUCUUUAAGUUCGAAGUCGGCUCUCCAGCAGCCAUACGAAGCGUCUCCCUCAAGCGUCGAACAGUAAUCUGCGAGCUGGCUUUCGGUUUUCUGGAUCAACGGAGGCUCCUUCACGGCUCUGUCGAGCUUGGUUCGGCUGAACGGCUCGAGCUUCGGCCUCAUGGAGAAAAUCGGAUUGUGAUAUCUCCUUGUAAGAGCUUUAAUUGGGCUACCACUCUAUUUGACACUUUUGGUGUACAAAUUCAGAAGAAGUCAUGUAUGAAUGAACGAAGAAAUUGAGAAUUUCCUUCAAAGUCAAGACGAUCUUGUGCCCAUUAGCUACUCUUACUCCAUGAUUAAUAAGAUGACUACUGGCUUCAACCACAAGGUAGGUGAAGGAGGCUUCGCUCCAAGGGAGUGUUGCACUCUUGCUUAUGCCUCCCAAGCCCUCUGUUUGUCCACAAGAAAUGUGAGAUGAAUAGAUUGAAAUCAACACAAAUCUUGCAGGGGCAAACAUUGGUGUAUAUUUUCAUUUACUUUGAACAUAAGUGAAAGUAAAAACUUAAUAUUUCAUGUCAAAAAUAAUGUGCGUAGCUAGAGGGAGCAUGCAACCAUGCAUAGCAUGUCAAUCUUAUUCCAACAUAUAUAAUUAGGCAACAAUGCUUCAAC